rnacentral:rRNA from 1 species
CAGGUGCUGCAUGGCCUCGUCAGCUCGUGCCGUGAGGUGUUGGGUUAAGUCCCGCAACGAGCGCAACCCCGCCGUUAGUUGCCAGCGGUUCGGCCGGGCACUCUAACGGGACUGCCCGCGAAAGCGGGAGGAAGGAGGGGACGACGUCUGGUCAGCAUGGCCCUUACGGCCUGGGCGACACACGUGCUACAAUGCCCACUACAAAGCGAGGCCACCCGGCAACGGGGAGCUAAUCGCAAAAAGGUGGGCCCAGUUCGGAUUGGGGUCUGCAACCCGACCCCAUGAAGCCGGAAUCGCUAGUAAUCGCGGAUCAGCCAUGCCGCGGUGAAUACGUCCCCGGGCCUU